rnacentral:rRNA from 1 species
GACGAACGCUGGCGGCGUGCUUAACACAUGCAAGUCGAACGCUGAAGACCUGGCUUUUGUUGGGUUGGAUGAGUGGCGAACGGGUGAGUAACACGUGAGUAACCUGCCCUCUUCUUUGGGAUAACGCCCGGAAACGGGUGCUAAUACUGGAUAUUCACUGAUCUUCGCAUGGGGGUUGGUGGAAAGGUUUGUUCUGGUGGGGGAUGGGCUCGCGGCCUAUCAGCUUGUUGGUGGGGUGAUGGCCUACCAAGGCUUUGACGGGUAGCCGGCCUGAGAGGGUGACCGGUCACAUUGGGACUGAGAUACGGCCAAGACUCCUACGGGAGGCAGCAGUGGGGAAUAUUGCACAAUGGGCGAAAGCCUGAUGCAGCGACGCCGCGUGAGGGAUGGAGGCCUUCGGGUUGUAAACCUCUUUCGCUCACGGUCAAGCCGCAACUGUGGGUUGUGGUGAGGGUAGUGGGUAAAGAAGCGCCGGCUAACUACGUG